GGAGCGUGGGUGCUGGUACCGCAGGAUGGUUGGAACCAUGUAGGUGACAGCAUGGCGGAAUAAAGGAGAAAAGUGGAGGGGACAGGAAGGAGAGGAGGAGAAAAACGGGGGAGGGCAGAGGAGACUUUGACCAACACCUGCAGGUCAGCAAGUCAGUUCCAGCAGAGCCGCUGCCCCCGGGCCUCCCCACGCCAGGCCCUCCGCGCACGGCUGUUCAGGAGACAGGGCAGCACUCGGAGGAGGUGGGAGAGCCUCUGCACUGUCCUGGCACGGGCGCCCCAGGCUUGGUCCCUGGACGUGGCUGGUCCCACACGGUGGGUGCUGCUGUGGACAGUUGCGAGACAGGCUUGAGGAUGUACCUCUGACCUCCACACCUCGUCCCAGGGCCAAGGGGAGACUAAGACAGGAAGGUGAUGACCAGAUGGACCGACAGACGGGUUUUAACUCAUCGCCAUUUCCUAUUCACUACCUCACUGUUUCACGGGUCCCUCCCUUCCCCACUUCACACAGGUGCAAACCAAGGAUCAGACAGCCUCGCCCAAGGCCAGACUCAGAAUCAGGCGGGGAGAAAUUACGUCGAGUCACGCACAUAAACCGAGGCUCUAAGGGUCAAUCCCAGUCCCUCCCCCACCAUCCUCUCCUCUCCCCAUUGCUGUCCUCACAGGUUAGAAAUGGAAGCCCAGAGGGAGGGGUAAGUGCCCGAGGGCAUCGGGAAGCUGCAUCUCAGAAUGAAAAUCCUGGUUGCUCAGCACAACACCAGAGCUGCCAACACUCGGUUUAGAGGGAAGCGCUCUUCCGGCACAAGGAAAACCUCCUGCUUAGAUAACAAGACAGAUAAUCUGUACAGCAAGUCUGCUCUGUCCUGUUCCCGCGAUAACUCCUCCGUCUGCAGCACUCUGAAAAACAGUGCACUUUGCAGACACCCAGUAGCAAGACUGGACACGGCUCCCACGGCGCUCUGUGAUGAGCUCUUAAGAGCAGAGCUGACGCACCCGCACGGAUGGGCCCCAAGCGCAGAAUCUAUAAGAAAGAACAAAUGCGUUGGGGGGAAAAAAAGGAGGGGUCUUGUAAGCAGAAUGCAGAAUGAAGUCUUGGCUUUGCAGGGUCCAUCACUUUCCAGGAAAGCCAGCAGCAUGUAGUUUCUAAUCCCCUAAUAUUUGCUGUCUCUGCAAACCAAUGAAGUGGCUGAGCCUGCAAAGAAUACUGAUGGAAUCGGCGGCAUCUGAAGGUGACUUUGACAAAGAACAGGAGUGGUCCUGGGUAGCUCACUCAUGACCGUGCCGUCGGUGAGAGCCUGGAAAGAGAUCAACACCACACAGCGGGGUCGUUGGCCACCUGGGACCACUCCUCACUGAGCACCUGCUGGGGCAGCCUCAGAACGGGGCUUCCAUGGUGGGCACAGAGAAUUCUGGCUGUGCACGCAUUAAGGAAGUCACUUCAAGUCGCGCUUGCAUCAAUCCCCCAGGUUUCGCCAGAGCCUGGGCUCUGUGCCCUCAGCACCCCUGGGUGGCCCACUUCAGUUCUAAAUGAAUGGGAAAUCGCUCCUGCCCUGAAAGCCUUGCUUUGCACACACAGUACGAGGCCUAGGGAUCUGGGUUCAAGUCCGGGUUCUGCCACUAACCAGCUGGGGGCUUUCUGAUCCGCAACAAGUCAGUCCAGUUACUUCUCCUGUGCAGUAGGUCCAGACCGUGUGUGGCACCCACAACAUGUUUACAAGCUAGUGACAGAAGUGACCAAAGGAGCUGGCACUGUGGUGCUGUAGGUAAAGCCACUGCCUGCAAUGCUGGCAUCCCAUAUGGGUGCUGGUUUGAGUUCCGGCUGCUUCACU
rnacentral:lncRNA from 1 species